AGAGUUUGAUCCUGGCUCAGAUUGAACGCUGGCGGCAUGCCUUACACAUGCAAGUCGAACGGCAGCACGGGAGCAAUCCUGGUGGCGAGUGGCGAACGGGUGAGUAAUGUAUCGGAACGUGCCCAGUCGUGGGGGAUAACGUAGCGAAAGCUACGCUAAUACCGCAUACGAUCUAUGGAUGAAAGCGGGGGACCGCAAGGCCUCGCGCGAUUGGAGCGGCCGAUAUCAGAUUAGGUAGUAGGUGGGGUAAAGGCCUACCAAGCCGACGAUCUGUAGCUGGUCUGAGAGGACGACCAGCCACACUGGGACUGAGACACGGUCCAGACUCCUACGGGAGGCAGCAGUGGGGAAUUUUGGACAAUGGGCGAAAGCCUGAUCCAGCCAUGCCGCGUGAGUGAAGAAGGCCUUCGGGUUGUAAAGCUCUUUCGGCCGGGAAGAAAUCGCAUGGGCUAAUACCCUGNGUGGAUGACNGNACCGGAAUAANAANCACCGNNUAACUACNUGCCANCANNCGNNNNAAUACNNNNGGNGCNAGCGNUAAUNNNNANUACUGNCAANUGGAGCAGUNAAAUNNGUAGNUAUGUGGAGGAANANNGAUGGNGAAGGCAGCCCCCUGGGNCGAUANUGACGCUCAUGCACGAAAGCGUGGGGAGCAAACAGGAUUANAUACCCUGGUAGUCCACGCCCUAAACGAUGUCAACUAGGUGUUGGGUGUGGUAAAACCAUUUAGUACCGGAGCUAACGCGUGAAGUUGACCGCCUGGGGUAGUACGGCCGCAAGUGUUAAAACUCAAAGGAAUUGACGG
rnacentral:rRNA from 1 species